GAUGAACGCUAGCGGCAGGCCUAAUACAUGCAAGUCGAGGGGUAGAAGAGGCUUGCUUCUUUGAGACCGGCGCACGGGUGCGUAACGCGUAUGCAACCUACCUUCAUCUGGGGGAUAGCCCGGAGAAAUCCGGAUUAAUACCGCAUAAAAUCACAGGAUGGCAUUAUCCAAUGAUCAAACAUUUAUGGGAUGGAGAUGGGCAUGCGUGUCAUUAGCUAGUUGGCGGGGUAACGGCCCACCAAGGCGACGAUGACUAGGGGAUCUGAGAGGAUGGCCCCCCACACUGGUACUGAGACACGGACCAGACUCCUACGGAAGGCAGCAGUAAGGAAUAUUGGUCAAUGGAGGGAACUCUGAACCAGCCAUGCCGCGUUCAGGAAGACUGCCCUAUGGGUUGUAAACUGCUUUUAUUCGGGAAUAAACCUUAUUACGUGUAAUAAGCUGAAUGUACCGAAGGAAUAAGGAUCGGCUAACUCCGUGCCAGCCGCCGCAGUAAUAC
rnacentral:rRNA from 1 species